UUGGCAAUGAUUUAGUAGGGUGGGAUGGGAGUGGGGCUGGGCCCAGAGAUGCUGACCCCCUUUGUACCAUUGAGUGAAGCCAGUAAACCUGCCCCACCCCAGGCAUACCCCCUUCUAUGAGGUACACCCAGCCCCCUACUCACCCUGACCAGCCUGGGGAGUGAGAGUGCCCACUGCUCAUCAAGGUGGAAGGCAGAACUCAUCAGCUUGUAGUCAAUGCAGUACCUGCAACAAAGCUGCUCCAAUCCAGAAUGCACCCGAGGGAGAAAGAUGUCUGAAGUCCUCAUAGCUGUCUCAUCUGCAAAGUGACUUCCCAGCGGGUUACCUGCCCUCGGCCCUACUGCAAAGGAAUCAUCACUGUGGGGUCCAGAACCUCAGGUGGGUGUCAGGGCCAUCCGUGGGCACUGCAGGAAUACUCUUCCAUGGACAGAGUUCACAUGUCACCCUCACUGUUGGAAAGUGUCAUCUAUGGGUGCAGAUAUCCGUGGAAGUGACAUAUCUGCUACCUGCUUUGGCUCAGGGAAGCAUGCGGGGCGACAUGGAGGCCUCCAUGCAGCCUGGUGUCUGUCAUCUUGCUGGCUGUGCUGUGUUUGGGCCAGGCCCUCUUUCGGGCCUGCCUGAAGGUCAGCCACCCUGUCCAGAGCUUCUCCUGA
rnacentral:lncRNA from 1 species